ensembl:misc_RNA Metazoa_SRP Metazoan signal recognition particle RNA
GCUGAGCAGCAGCGCGUGCCUGUAGUGCCAGCUACUCAGGAGGCUGAGGUGGGAGGAUCGCUUGAGCCCAGGAGUUCUGGGCUGUAGUACGCUGUGCCGAUCGGGUGUCCACACUAAGUCUAGCAUCAAUAUGGUGACCUCCUGGGAGCGGGGGACCACCAGGUUGCCUAAGAAGGGGUGAACUGGCCCAGGUCAGAAACAGAGCAGGUCAAAACUCCCGUGCUGAUCAAUAGUGGGAUCGCGCCUGUGAAUAGCCACGGCAUUCCAGCCUGGGUAAUGUAGCAAGACUCCCCUCUC